rnacentral:lncRNA from 1 species
CCGCGUCCUCGCCGGAGCCGCCGGCUCCGCUACUGUCCACACCGGCUGCCGCAGCCGGAUCCUGCUUCUUCCCCACCGCCGCGGCCGGAGCCGACCUCGGUCCCAUCCGCCGCUGCCGGCGUUGAGGUCGGCCCCUUCCGCUGCCACCGCCACCGCCGCCAUGCACUCCACCGCUGGCUGGCGCCGAGGUCGUCCCUCUUCCUCAUCGGCCGAGCCGACGUCCUCCAGUCCCCAUCCGCCGCCGCCGAACUCCACCGAUGCCGCAGGCAUUGCCGAUCCUACCGAUGCGUGCAGAUUGGUGGUCAAUUACUCUCCUGCUCGGCUGCUCCAGCCAUGGACAACGUCGGCGCCUCAAGGAAACCAACAAUGCUUACUACAAGGGAAUAUCUUGUGCUCUUUAUCCAGUAUGCAGAGAUAAGGGAGGUUCAAUGGAGAUGAUGAAAACAAGGUGCUUGAUAUCAUGACACUAUUUGACAAGUGCAACACCUUUAAUAUUUGCAAUUUUCUUUCUGCUUCUAUCUAAAAUUAUGUACAUAUUCUACUAUUGAAGUGGUUCUCAUCCAUUAACAUAACAGAGAUAUGGUCCCAUUUUGCAAGAGUGUAUGACAUUUUUAUGUAGCACUGAAACAAUUUAAGAUUAUUAACAAAUAUUAAGUUUCCAUACC